rnacentral:rRNA from 1 species
UACGGAGGGGGCUAGCGUUGUUCGGACUUACUGGGCGUAAAGCGCACGUAGGCGGCUUUGUAAGUUAGAGGUGAAAGCCCAGAGCUCAACUCUGGAACUGCCUUUAAGACUGCAUCGCUUGAAUUGUGGAGAGGUAAGUGGAAUUCCGAGUGUAGAGGUGAAAUUCGUAGAUAUUCGGAAGAACACCAGUGGCGAAGGCGACUUACUGGACACAUAUUGACGCUGAGGUGCGAAAGCGUGGGGAGCAAACAGG